ACCUGCGGAAGGAUCAUUACCGAGUUCAUGCCCUAUAAACGGGUAGAUCUCCCACCCUUUGUAUACCUUACCUUUGUUGCUUUGGCGGGCCGCCUAGCUACUGGCUUCGGCUGGUAAGUGCCCGCCAGAGGACCCAAAACCCUGAAUUAUUCGUGUCGUCUGAGUAAAAUAUUUUAAUAUUUAAAACUUUCAACAACGGAUCUCUUGGCUCUGGCAUCGAUGAAGAACGCAGCGAAAUGCGAUAAGUAAUGUGAAUUGCAGAAUUCAGUGAAUCAUCGAAUCUUUGAACGCACAUUGCGCCCCUUGGUAUUCCGAGGGGCAUGCCUAUUCGAGCGUCAUUAUCACCCCUCAAGCUCAGCUUGGUGUUGAGGUCUGCUGUGAAGGCAACCUCUAAAAUCAGUGGCAGUGCUGUCAGGCUCUAAGCGUAGUAAACUUCAUCGCUAUAGACACCGGAUGGACACUCGCCAGAACCCCCCAUCUUUUAAUGAUUGACCUCGGAUUAGGUAGGGAUACCCGCUGAACUUAAGCAUAUCAAUAAGCGGAGG
rnacentral:rRNA from 1 species